CUGACAAAUGCAUGGUGCAAAUUAGGCCGCCGGUCCAGGUCUAUCUCUGUGCAGUCUCGAGGUCAGGAACAUCAAAUGUGUUUUUGAAUUUAGAGACUCAAAGAUAAUCAAAAGCCAGCAAAGUUCAGAGCGUCUCAGAAACGUGGGGGAGAAAAUGCAGCCCCAAAUAGCAAAUAGACAUCUGAAAUGAUAUUACUCCUCUGCCAUGAAAGAGAGCCAAUUUCAAUGAGGUGACAUUCAUUUCCUUUCAGGUGCUGAGAGGAGGAUGAGAUAGGCUGUCUGAUUUUUAAUAUAUCUAACUGUGUCAGAGCCCCUGGUGGCACACAGCACAGGCAAAUAUAGGGAGGAUACACUGGAGCAGAGUGGAUUUCUCAAAGCGCUGUGCAGAAAUGGUUGCUAUUGGAAUGACAACUAUUUUGUUUCUGUAAAAUGUGGAUAAAUAUCAAAACGCAGGGAUGAUAUUGGUUAGCAUGACCGGAGACUUUCAUAAGACGUGUGUUCAGUCCGUCUCAGCUGAUAUGUGCCGUCACGGGCGCUGCUUCAGCUCCAGACACCUGGAGAAAUCUCAUUUCGAUUUCUGCAGGAGCACCAGAUUCUAUUUUGCAUCUACAGUGAACAUGAAAACAACACAGAGAUGUAAAUCCACUGAUUCUGUUAUUACCGGGGGAAAUCUUUGUUCUCACGACUCCAUUGCUGCUCUUAAAAAAAGCAGCAAGAGCCAAAAAUCAGCAAAGACGUCAUACACUUGAAACAAGCGGUGAGUUAAUGGUGAGUGUUUUGUUGCUUGUGCGCUGCUCACUGUGGUGAAGAUUGUCUUUGCCUUUAAACCAGUGCUUCGAUUUGGAGUAUUAGCUUUGCUAGUUAGUUUCAGCAGCGCGAUAUAACCAGUAUGAUAACUUCGGUAAAUAUAACUUUAUGCAAAUCACGAGCCAUACUCGGUUGAAAACACACACUCAUCGUUAUCAAUACUUCCUUGUGAACGCACAACAAUCGACUUAAAGAUCAACUUUGUAUUUGAUUGUGGCAUUUCGCGGUAAUCUCCACCAUCGCAACAAGCUUCAGGACCCCAAAACUGCCCGUAUGUGUGCCUAAACAAAAAUCGGUUGAAUCCCAAGGACUCUGUCUGCCCAAAAAGGUGCCUGCACAAUACCCACUUAAAGUAGUUUCAACACAGACAGAAAAAAACAUCGAAAAUUUAUAACAAUCAGAUUAAUUUUUGUUAAACAGUCCCUCUCUACUUGACGCUGAAGUUCCUUUAGUCGAAACGUGCAGCAGCAGAAAACUGGCGAAUACAAGAGACUCUGAAGUUUUACGUUAACUAAACUGUGAACAAAUAACCUUUUAUGGUUUUACAGACUGUUUCAGAGUAGAUAACGCCUAACUGUGAGAUGAUAUCAAUGAGCUUUAAUCCAGACCGUCCUUUUUCAAAAUGACAUUUUCAUGUUUUCAAACUUCAAAGAAAUGCCGUUUCUCCACAGAUGUACCGAGUCUAUUUACUGCCCUGUUUAUCCUCAUAAUGUCUUUUUCGCUCGCUUUUAUGCUACAGAUUUGUUGACAGACGCAUUUUGGUUUAUUUUCCUCCAGGCAAUUUCAUCUUUAACAAACACCUCUUUGCAGGAGCUAAUUCCCGCUGAAAUGAUGAGAGCAAAAGCUCGCUGGAGCAUUCUUCCCACGGCUAAGCCACCUACCGCAGCUAAAGGAGGCUCAGCGCUGCCCAUCAUGCAGGGCGCCGGGCUGCUCUUAUCGUCCCUCCACGAGGCCGGAGAAGGGUAAUAGGAUUGCUGCUCGCAGAGAAAGUGCCGUGCUCACCAAGCAGUGGGUGGGGGGGCCGAGGCAAAAGUGUGAAGGGCCUCUGCUGCUGUCCAGCAUCAUGCAAGCAGAGAGGAGCAGGCACGGAGGAUGUGUUCUCCUCGCUCCAUAAAUAACCCUGCUAAAUUGCAGGCUUUGGAGGGUCAGUGGGACAGUGGACUGCUGGUGUAUAUCUGGAGGCCUGGAUAUAACCUGUAAUCCUGCAGCCCAGGAAACACACAGCACAGCACUUAUAGCAAAAUGUCUUUCCUGCAAAAAGGAAGCCGGGGUCUUUACGAGCAUGGGGGGAGAGAGAGAGAGAGAGAGAGAGCCGGGGAGAGGGGCCAGUGAGAGAGAGUGGAGUCAGGAGUGAUUAUAUGGUGUGUAGUCAGUGUCUGAGGCGUUGACUCCUUCUUUCCUUCCUUGCUUGCUUCCUACCUUCCUUCCUUGGCUGGCUGUGUCCCAGCAGCAGCACAGCAUCCACUUUGUACUCAGAUGAGAGAGAUGAAAGCAGCUAUGGAGGAGGGAGCGGCGGAGGAGGGGCGGGGGGCUCUUUUUUUAUAGACCACCAUAUCACUUUAGAUUCGGGUGCUGGCUGAGUGCAACUGUCACCAUUCAGAGAGAACCAUCAGGAUGAAACAAGCAUGCAAAGGUUUCAAACAACCUCUGAAGACCUCAGAAAUUUGGCUUGAAUUUUUGAAGAGGAGCGUCUGAAAAUUGAAGUUAAAAACUGAAACAAAAACAGCGUCUCUCUGCAGACGGAGAGGGUGAGCUGCAGGGUCAUGUUUGACGGACGUCUUCUUGGCUUUAACGCAACAACAGUGCACAUAAAAACCUGCGUCAUGAGACCCUAAAGAGAGUCACAGUUUAAGAAAGGAUGUGUGUCAAAGAAUUAAAGGAACAGUGCGUAGAUAUUAGAAAAUUUAACAGACCUUUUUCUUGUGAUACGUUUACAUAUCAUUUUUCUGUGAUACUGGGGUUUUCUUAAUGAUUCAAUAAUUAUUACGACAGCAUCAAUGUGUGUGUUCAAGAGAGCCGCCGUCAAGACUAAAACUAAAUCUAAAAUGCCUGCCAAAAACAACACUGCGCCACACUCGAGGUGUACACUUGGACCAAACUGGAGCAGGUUUUAGUCUGGAGCGAGAACAGUCCGACGUAAAUUCAUCUAAAUCCGAAAAUCAUAUCUGGAGGACUUCUGAGGUCCAGACUAAGACCAUCAGAAAAUGGACUCAAGAUACUUUUCAGACAUGACUGAUGCUGCAUUUUGAAUUUCUGAUGUCAGUUUAUUACGUGAUAUAAACUAAAUUACCCCCCUCCUACACGAUGAAGCAUGAAGGAACAUCAAACGCAGUGUAAUCAGAAUUAAAACUA